CGCCUGUUUAUCAAAAACAUGGCCUUGUAUAUAUGUAAGGUCUGGCCUGCCCACUGAUUAUUUGAAGGGCCGUGGUAUUUUAACCAUGCGAAGGUAGCAUAAUCAUUUGCCUUUUAAUUGAGGGCUGGAAUGAAGGGUCGUUCGAGGGAUUAACUGUCUCUAACCUUUAUUUGAAAUUAAUCUUUUAGUGAAAAAGCUAAACUAUACUUGAAGGACGAUAAGACCCUAUAGAUCUUUAUAGAAACAAAAUUAGAAAUUGGUUGUAAGUUCUUUUUACCCCUUCUAUUGAGUUGGGGCGACGCUAUAUGAAGAUAUAACAUUUAGUUUAUUUAAACACUUACAUGUGAUGACAAGAUCCUGGGAUGAGAAAAGGAGAUAGUUACCUUAGGGAUAACAGCGUAAUGGUUUUUGAAAGUUCAAAUUGACAAAACCGUUUACGACCUCGAUGUUGGUUCAGGGAUCCUAUUUAGCGCAGUAGCUUUAUAAGGGAGUCUGUUCGACUUUUAAAUCCCUACAUGAUCUGAGUUCAAACCGG
rnacentral:rRNA from 1 species